AAUCAACGCUGGCGGCGUGCCUCAGACAUGCAAGUCGAACGAUUAAAGCUCUCUUCGGAGAGUGUAUAGAGUGGCGCACGGGUGAGUAACACGUAAGUAAUCUACCCUCGGGUGGGGAAUAACAUCGGGAAACCGAUGCUAAUACCGCAUAAUGCAGCGGGCUCCUAAUGGAGACAGUUGUUAAAGGAUUUAGUUCGCCUGGGGAGAGCUUGCGGCAGAUUAGCAGUUGGUAAGGUAAUGGCUUACCAAGGCUACGAUCUGUAGCCGGUCUAAGA
rnacentral:rRNA from 1 species